UAGCAGGGAGGUAAUCUGAGGAAGGUAUCACUUUCGUGUCCUCUUCCAGGAAUGCAGAAUUCCUUGUCCAGAGUAAUCAGUCUUGCACCAUUCAGCAAUGCUGCAUUCAUCUGAAAAACAAAGGUAAGUUGUAUUUAAUUUUAUUUUAUGAAGCUUUUCUGGGAAUGAAGGCUGGACUGCACAGGAAACUGAGGCACAGCAAUGACCACUGCAUAUGUUGUUUUCUCUUGUUGCUCUUUCAACCACAAUCUUAUCUCUCACUUUUAUCUGAGGGAGGUCUCUAUCGGAGUGUCACACCUCUUUCUUUUUUAUUUUCUAGCUAAUAGCCUUCCUUUAUAACUUCUCAAAAGCUAAAAUAUUUGUUAAACUUUUUCCAUCAUGGACCAUGUUUUUAAGUAGGUGACCACAAGUGACUCUAUUCUAUAUAGCAUCUUGGCAGCAAAAAUGGAGCAAAAAGAAAAUGCUGAAGAGUGUUCCUUACAAGCACGUUAUCAAAGAAACAAAGCAAUCCCAAAAGUGGAUUUUAGAAAAUGGAAAGGAGCACACAUGGAAAAAGGCUUCAGACAUUUCAGAAGGCUGGAGCCCUCGGACUGGUGUAGCAGCAGCGGAGCAGUGUCACCACCCCUCUCCUUGCAUAAUCCUGCCAGAAAUAGUUCAGAGAGUUCACGAUGGCGAACAGGAUGCGAACAGAAACCAAAAAAAUAAAGUAGGGUAUUAAACCA